rnacentral:rRNA from 1 species
ACGGGUGAGUAAUGUCUGGGAAACUGCCUGAUGGAGGGGGAUAACUACUGGAAACGGUAGCUAAUACCGCAUGACGUCUUCGGACCAAAGUGGGGGACCUUCGGGCCUCACGCCAUCAGAUGUGCCCAGAUGGGAUUAGCUAGUAGGUGGGGUAAUGGCUCACCUAGGCGACGAUCUCUAGCUGGUCUGAGAGGAUGACCAGCCACACUGGAACUGAGACACGGUCCAGACUCCUACGGGAGGCAGCAGUGGGGAAUAUUGCACAAUGGGCGCAAGCCUGAUGCAGCCAUGCCGCGUGUAUGAAGAAGGCCUUCGGGUUGUAAAGUACUUUCAGCGAGGAGGAAGGCAUUGUGGUUAAUAACCGCAGUGAUUGACGUUACUCGCAGAAGAAGCACCGGCUAACUCCGUGCCAGCAGCCGCGGUAAUACGGAGGGUGCAAGCGUUAAUCGGAAUUACUGGGCGUAAAGCGCACGCAGGCGGUUGAUUAAGUCAGAUGUGAAAUCCCCGAGCUUAACUUGGGAACUGCAUUUGAAACUGGUCAGCUAGAGUCUUGUAGAGGGGGGUAGAAUUCCAGGUGUAGC